rnacentral:lncRNA from 1 species
GAGCGAUAUGAGGAAUUGGGAUGACAUAUGGACCUGGGGCCUAAGGGCUCCUCGCAGCUUGGCUCUUGGCCAUCUUGCAGCUUAACAGUAUUGCCAGUAUUCUUACUGCAGUUCUCGUGAUGCUUCCCCCUACGCCCCCAGCCCCGGACUCCUGGGAUCAUGCAACACAAGGAUGGCAUACGUAUGAAUUUCCCUGGCCUAGGCCCCGCAGCCUUGCAUCCAGCACCAAAAAAGCCCUCGCUGACAUGACAAGAGAAGCAAGGACCCCGUCAUCAAUCAAAAAGCACCCUUGCAAGACGAAGCACUGCUCUUAUCCCGAUGUAAAAAGUUUGCAGCAGAGCAAGGAGCAGAAUCCAGAUCUCCUGGGUCCCAGGCUGGUGCCGUAAUCAUUCACCUUUCCUGCUGCAGCUUCUGCGGGGGGGGAAUAAAAAUCAGAGACCAGCAGACGUAACCCA